AUUAAACACCAUAUGCAAAUGGACUGUGCCAGUGAACCAGAUUUCAAAAUGAUUUUGAACCAUUUAUCCAUUUGGAACAUGGUAUACGCGGCCUGUUGGAGAAUUGUUCUAUGGUUCGGAGAACACCAACCAUUGAUGACCCGUCCGAUAGCCGACAAAGGGAGAUUAGCCACGUUGCAACCAUCAGGAUAUUAAUACCAACGAGUACACGAACUGCCGUGACUAUUACCCGGUUGUGUAAAAAAGUGUAGCUCUGGAUUGUGUGGAUUUUGUUGUUCCAUCGAUUUAUUUAGGACCUGCAUGCGGCAGAAAUCUAAAGAAGUGGACAUUAAAUUAUAGAUAUGUCUAUUCAAGAGAAUGAGGGCAAGUAGAAGUAUUCCAUCCGAUUGGAUACAAAAUAUGUUCUUCGACUAUACCGCUUCUCGGAAGAUGUAUUCGAAGGCAUCGGCG